AGUCCUCGAGGCUACCAUUUGGGAGGAAUUCGUACACGAGCGCGAAAUCAUCCGGGCAUGCUCCCAUCAGUGUGACGAGAUUAGGAUGCCUGACUCUACUGAGGACAGCAACCUGCAGGAGUGAUGCCCAGUAACUUGUCAUACUUUACCUGGAGCUCUUGGAAAAGCUGUUUGCUGUUUGCAUCCUUUUCUUCAUGGACUUUCACAGCAGACUUGAUCUCAGCCAUAUGUUUGCCAUGUAUCUCAUGUCUUUAAUCUGUACGGGCAUUCAACAUUUUGGUGACGACCUGCAUUUUGUAUUACAGACCACGAUGGUGCAGAAAAGGAAGAAGAAAACUUACCCUUUGAAGAUAUGAGAGCAUAUCUCUUUCCGCUUUUCUUCUUCU